AUAGCAUAUAACCGCGUUUUCUGAUGACAGUUUAAUGCAUUUUUCACAACAGACAAUUUGACUGGAACUACCGUAUUGGUAGUUGUUUUUUUGCGUCUAAGAUAUUAAGUGAUUUCUUGCCGAUGAUCCAUGGCUACCUUUGUGAAUGUCGGCACACAUCGUAUAAUUGAUUAUUCGUUCAUACCACCCACUGCUUAUUCGACCAUGAAAACUUGUGAGUUAUUCACAUCCCUAGUGCCUAUUGAGAAGGAUAAAGGAUCUUUGGUAUGAUCACUAGCCGCUUUUACAUGGACAUUUCUGAUCCGAAAUUGGAAGAACAGCUAAAUCGAAAUAGAAAAUGAUCAUAUAUACGCCUCAAUCGAAAUACAAUUCUCUGAUCGGAAUAUAAUUUUAUGCUGAAUAGAAGUGUAGUCCACUAUCAUCAACAUGUAUACACUUAUUCCGAUUAGUAUGGGGUGGGUGCGGCUUUUUUUUAACAGAGCAGCUGCAGUGGUUCGCAAUUGGUCCACUCCGUCUGUACUUUUAUGCACAACGAACUUGCCCGCUGUCAAGGGAAGUGUAUUUUUUUGCCUGAUUCACGUCUUUCUUAUCGCUCCGCAAGUAGUCUGGUAAUUUAUCAACCCGCGUGUCUGGUUGCUAAGCGACGUCAACGUCUUUGUCAGACUAUUUCUCUGCUGAUCAACACUACGAAUGGUAAUUGUAAAAAGACACAACGUGUGAAGAAUUGUUUCGUUUUGGCAAGGAGCCGUGUAAUAAGCGGGAUAAUGUAUAGAACGCGCCGGUCAUUAUCGAAAAUAAUACCCUUCAGGGCGAAGCAAGACACCUCCACUUCGCGUCGGAGUCUGGUUCGCCCUGUCGGGGCUUAUUUUCCCGAUAAUCACCGGCGUUCUGUAGGCCUACAA